rnacentral:rRNA from 1 species
GGGGGGACGUUCUCCGGAUAUUGCGGCGUAAGGGCUCGCAGGCGGUUUCUUAAGUCUGAUGUGAAAGCCCCCGGCUCAACCGGGGAGGGUCAUUGGAAACUGGGGAACUUGAGUGCAGAAGAGGAGAGUGGAAUUCCACGUGUAGCGGUGAAAUGCGUAGAGAUGUGGAGGAACACCAGUGGCGAAGGCGACUCUCUGGUCUGUAACUGACGCUGAGGAGCGAAAGCGUGGGGAGCGAACAGGAUUAGAUACCCUGGUAGUCCACGCCGUAAACGAUGAGUGCUAAGUGUUAGGGGGUUUCCGCCCCUUAGUGCUGCAGCUAACGCAUUAAGCACUCCGCCUGGGGAGUACGGUCGCAAGACUGAAACUCAAAGGAAUUGACGGGGGCCCGCACAAGCGGUGGAGCAUGUGGUUUAAUUCGAAGCAACGCGAAGAACCUUACCAGGUCUUGACAUCCUCUGACAAUCCUAGAGAUAGGACGUCCCCUUCGGGGGCAGAGUGACAGGUGGUGCAUGGUUGUCGUCAGCUCGUGUCGUGAGAUGUUGGGUUAAGUCCCGCAACGAGCGCAACCCUUGAUCUUAGUUGCCAGCAUUCAGUUGGGCACUCUAAGGUGACUGCCGGUGACAAACCGGAGGAAGGUGGGGAUGACGUCAAAUCAUCAUGCCCCUUAUGACCUGGGCUACACACGUGCUACAAUGGACAGAACAAAGGGCAGCGAAACCGCGAGGCUAAGCCAAUCCCACAAAUCUGUUCUCAGUUCGGAUCGCAGUCUGCAACUCGACUGCGUGAAGCUGGAAUCGCUAGUAAUCGCGGAUCAGCAUGCCGCGGGUGAAUACGUUCCCCGGGCCUUGUACACACCGCCCGUCACACCACGAGAGUUUGUAACACCCGAAGUCGGUGAGGUAACCUUUUAGAACCCACCCCCCAAAGGGGGAACAAAUAAUGGGGUGAAUCUAGAGGGGGCCCCCCCAAAAAAAAAGCCGCGGACGGGCGGAGGGGAGAAAAAAGGGGAGGCCCCCGGGGGGGGAACCCGAUUGGGGGGGGGGGGGGGUUUUUUCCCCCCAAAAAAAAAUUUUUUUUUUCCACAAAUAU